CUAAUCUUCCUUUCACUCUCUAAUUUUGCAUAUUGUUUUGCGGGUUCUGAGGAGGUUAUAGGGGGAAAUGGAUACUGGUUUUGAUAUUCAUGUAAAUUAUAAUGCAGUAAUAUGUGGUGUCUUUGUAGAAAAAGAGAUAGCCAGUUUGCACCUCAACGUCCUUCGACAAGGUUGACUUGGGUUCAACAAACAAAACAACUUCUGUCAUGAAAGCAGUAGAAACAGGUCUGGGCGUGACCUGAUUGGGGUGGGAUAAAUAGAUGAACUGAACUGAACAGCGAACACCAAUCCAUCAAAGAUGAAGACUGCAGUGGCUCUGCUGACUUCAUGCCACCUCUACCUGGGUGUGGCUCAGGUCUUCAGGUCUCCAGCCUCAUCCGAGCUUCUCCCUGUGGCCAGAAACGAAGACUUCUGGAGGCCAAAAUAAAAAAUGCAGAAAAACAGUUAGCGGAGCUGAAGCAAGCGACCACCGUUUUUGAACAGUGGAGGUGUGUUGCACUGAAGAGUAACUUCAACCAGACUUUGGCUGCAAAGAGAAAAGCUUGGUGGGAAGAGCUGAUGCAGACAAACAGAAACAAUCCAAGGAUGAAGACCUCACUGGCUGUGUUGGGUUUAUCCCUCUUCCACCUGUGUGUGGCUGAGCUCCUGCCACAGCAACAAGACGGAGACAUGAACAGCAUGGAGAGUCCCGGCAUCGAACAAGCUGGUCCCAUAGCCGGUGACGUAACAGAGAGCCCACGAUACAGUAGCCAUCUUGAUGUCAGCAUAAGAGAGGCGGAACAGCAAAACACCGAGAGACAGCUCGAGGAGCUGAGGAGAGAGGACCAAGGCAACCGGGAGGCAUUUGGCGAAUCCUUCGACAAUGUUGGAAACACUGGACCCUACAACACUGAGAUCACACUGCCCCACAGGAGCGACGGCGAUAACACAGGCGCAUACAGCCCAUCAGCAGGUAUCUUCACUGCUCCGGUCAAAGGAGUUUACCACUUCAGCUUCUCUGGUCAGACUGUAUCAACUAAACCGAUGGGCCUGCGACUAAUGAAGACUAUCAACCAUCCGGAUGGACGCCGCUUUGAGACGGCAAACAAUGUCAUGACCCUACCUCUCAAUGAGGGAGACCAGGUGUACAUGAGACUCCGGCGAAGAAUCCAUUUCAGAAUCAGAAUCAGAAUCAGAAUCAGAAUCAGCAUCCACUUACAUGUGCAUAUUUCACAUUGA
rnacentral:lncRNA from 1 species